rnacentral:rRNA from 1 species
AGUGAACGCUGGCGGUAGGCCUAACACAUGCAAGUCGAACGGCAGCACAGUAAGAGCUUGCUCUUACGGGUGGCGAGUGGCGGACGGGUGAGGAAUACAUCGGAAUCUACUUUUUCGUGGGGGAUAACGUAGGGAAACUUACGCUAAUACCGCAUACGACCUACGGGUGAAAGCAGGGGAUCUUCGGACCUUGCGCGAUUGAAUGAGCCGAUGUCGGAUUAGCUAGUUGGCGGGGUAAAGGCCCACCAAGGCGACGAUCCGUAGCUGGUCUGAGAGGAUGAUCGGCCACACUGGAACUGAGACACGGUCCAGGCUCCUACGGGAGGCAGCAGUGGGGAAUAUUCGACAAAGGGCGCAAGCCUGAUCCAGCCAUACCGCGUGGGUGAAGAAGGCCUUCGGGUUGUAAAGCCCUUUUGUUGGGAAAGAAAAGCAGCAGGUUAAUACCCCGCUGUUCUGACGGUACCCAAAGAAUAAGCACCGGCUAACUUCGUG